rnacentral:lncRNA from 1 species
UCAUGGUUUCCUCAGUUAUAAAAUUAUAUUCAUUAACUAUUUUAAUUUUUCCAGCUAGAAGUUCUCAGCAGCAGCAAAUGUCUUGGAAGUUCUCUCUUGCAGUCAGGUUGAUGGUCUACCCAGACAAGAAUCCCUCAAUGGAUGCCUAUCAGUAAAACUCUCUACCAUCUGUUCAUCAACUAACCUGCCAAUUGUAAGGACCUUCCAGUUGUAUCCAAAAGAAUCUGUUGUGACCAUCGGUGUACCAUGUUUAGUAGGUAAGUUUUCAUUUGGGGAAGGUAAGUCCUAAAGACUAAGGUGAGCUGUGUCCUGUUUUAAGAAGUUGGUUUUACACUAUCUGUUUUCCAAAAUGGCACUGCCUUCCUAUCCACAGUCCUUUAUAGUCCCUUGGGUCCUCAGGUAUGUGUAGUGAUCACCAUCUUCUACCUGUGACAAACUUCCACAUACUUAGAUAUUCUUUUAAAAUUCUCAUGUAUCACUUUGUAUUCAUGUUGGCCAGAAGCCCAGGCCCAUGGUGGUAGAAUCAUUAGUCAGAGACAUACAAACUGAAUAAAGGCCGCCAUCUAGCUGAUGUUUUCUUUGGA